GCCGGGUAGAACUGGGAGAAAGGUUCUCGCUAUUAAUACUGAAGAGUGGCCAUGUGGUGAGGGUCAUAUCCUGAUCACAAAAUCUUCUACAAGGGACACCGUGUUCAUUCACAGGAUGUAAGACAACGUGUGUUUGGGCAAUACGUAAGGAACAAACCACACCGUGUCGUGCUGCUAUAGGAAAAUAAUCACUGAUGCGGUGGUGUGAUGAAGAAGAGUUCCUGUUGUCACCCCAAGGCGAAGUUGAGAAGUCAGACCACAGUGUUUCCCAAUCCUACAGCUAUUAUUAAAGAAUCAGACUUGGGAAAACACCAAAGAAAAAAAAGAAAAAAACGCCUCAAGGCGAAACUAGGCCAAGACUGGGGACUAAAAAACACACACUAUACGUCCUAGUGAAAAACGAGGCAACGUUCAACCCCCAAGUGGAAUCUUGGGUUUAAUCCAUCCUCUGAAGAAUAGCGCCAAAGUUAAACACAACACCACCAGCAAAAACCGGGCUCUUAUUCUCCAAUUUGUGGCUGAAAUAAAGAAAUAAAGAAAUACUUUAUAUUUAUACCUCGACUCCAACUCCAUGAAAUAAAUAUGAGAAAUGACACUGUUUGAUUUUUAAAUGUAGAAGUUUAUGGAUUUAAAAUCUGAACAGCAGGUAGUUCAAAAAAAAAAAAAAAAUUCUCUCAAUACUGAAUCACAUCGUGUUUCUAAAACGUAACGUUCGGAAGUUCGUCCUUCGACGACGCGAUGAUUCACGCUGAAAGAUUCAAUUCUGUACGUUUUCUCAAACAGACCACAGAACUACGCAUAUGCUACGUCCCAGACACGUGAAUAUUUAUAAAUAAUACUUCAAGGAAAUUAUGAUUUUGAUCAGUUGUGUGUAAAUCUGUCCACUGACUAGCACAACACCAAAAAACAACAACAAAACAACAACCCACAAUUCAUUAAAUUGUUUUUAAAGAUGUAUACUUUAAGAAUCCGUGCUUAUCUGGGUUAGAUACAUGACCAGAGACACUCGUUGUUAUUGUUUCAUGUAAUGAAUCACUGUUUCUUGGGAUUCAGUUAGGACAUCGUGUUUAUCAGGGUUGAUCAGACUUGUUUCCACAUGUUUCCAAUCUUUCUUUCCCUG
ensembl:lncRNA